ensembl:lncRNA
GUCCCCAUUACAAUUUUAUUAAAUAAAUUAAUCAAUCGAUAAAUCAAAAAUCACAAAAAAACUAGUGACUUAAUCUGAGAACCUGUUAUAUUAGUACAAAUGUAAGGGUGGGUGGAGUUUUAAGGACAAGUUUUAUUUUGAUGCCAAACACAUCAGUCUUCAGGCAUUUUCCAUGCAGUAGAAGAUUAUUGCUCCUCAAGCUUGCAUUACUCAUGUUAGGUUGCUUCUCAGAAAUAAUUUUUCAUUAGGGUUGGAAGCUAAAGACUUGAAAGAUGUUUCGAUUUAUUAUAUUUAUUGGAUUGGCUUUACUGAUUGGUAAAUCAAUACCAACAGCAGAAACACAAACUAUUCCAGCAUCUACAUCUGAAUCAACGACAACAGCUGAACCAACCACAACUGAAACAUCAUCUACAACUGCAACAGGAACAUCAUCUAUGCCAGCAUCUACAUCUGAAUCAACGACAACAGCUGAACCAACAACAACUGAAACUUCAUCUACAACUGUAACAGGAACAUCAUCUAUGCCAGCAUCUACAUCUGAAUCAACGACAACAGCUGAACCAACAACAACUGAAACUUCAUCUACAACUGUAACAGGAACAUCAUCUAUGCCAGCAUCUACAUCUGAAUCAACGACAACAGCUGAACCAACAACAACUGAAACUUCAUCUACAACUGUAACAGGAACAUCAUCUAUGCCAGCAUCUACAUCUGAAUCAACGACAACAGCUGAACCAACAACAACUGAAACUUCAUCUACAACUGUAACAGGAACAUCAUCUAUGCCAGCAUCUACAUCUGAAUCAACGACAACAGCUGAACCAACAACAACUGAAACUUCAUCUACAACUGUAACAGGAACAUCAUCUAUGCCAGCAUCUACAUCUGAAUCAACGACAACAGCUGAACCAACAACAACUGAAACUUCAUCUACAACUGUAACAGGAACAUCAUCUAUGCCAGCAUCUACAUCUGAAUCAACGACAACAGCUGAACCAACAACAACUGAAACUUCAUCUACAACUGUAACAGGAACAUCAUCUAUGCCAGCAUCUACAUCUGAAUCAACGACAACAGCUGAACCAACAACAACUGAAACUUCAUCUACAACUGUAACAGGAACAUCAUCUAUGCCAGCAUCUACAUCUGAAUCAACGACAACAGCUGAACCAACAACAACUGAAACUUCAUCUACAACUGUAACAGGAACAUCAUCUAUGCCAGCAUCUACAUCUGAAUCAACGACAACAGCUGAACCAACAACAACUGAAACUUCAUCUACAACUGUAACAGGAACAUCAUCUAUGCCAGCAUCUACAUCUGAAUCAACGACAACAGCUGAACCAACAACAACUGAAACUUCAUCUACAACUGUAACAGGAACAUCAUCUAUGCCAGCAUCUACAUCUGAAUCAACGACAACAGCUGAACCAACAACAACUGAAACUUCAUCUACAACUGUAACAGGAACAUCAUCUAUGCCAGCAUCUACAUCUGAAUCAACGACAACAGCUGAACCAACAACAACUGAAACUUCAUCUACAACUGUAACAGGAACAUCAUCUAUGCCAGCAUCUACAUCUGAAUCAACGACAACAGCUGAACCAACAACAACUGAAACUUCAUCUACAACUGUAACAGGAACAUCAUCUAUGCCAGCAUCUACAUCUGAAUCAACGACAACAGCUGAACCAACAACAACUGAAACUUCAUCUACAACUGUAACAGGAACAUCAUCUAUGCCAGCAUCUACAUCUGAAUCAACGACAACAGCUGAACCAACAACAACUGAAACUUCAUCUACAACUGUAACAGGAACAUCAUCUAUGCCAGCAUCUACAUCUGAAUCAACGACAACAGCUGAACCAACAACAACUGAAACUUCAUCUACAACUGUAACAGGAACAUCAUCUAUGCCAGCAUCUACAUCUGAAUCAACGACAACAGCUGAACCAACAACAACUGAAACUUCAUCUACAACUGUAACAGGAACAUCAUCUAUGCCAGCAUCUACAUCUGAAUCAACGACAACAGCUGAACCAACAACAACUGAAACUUCAUCUACAACUGUAACAGGAACAUCAUCUAUGCCAGCAUCUACAUCUGAAUCAACGACAACAGCUGAACCAACAACAACUGAAACUUCAUCUACAACUGUAACAGGAACAUCAUCUAUGCCAGCAUCUACAUCUGAAUCAACGACAACAGCUGAACCAACAACAACUGAAACUUCAUCUACAACUGUAACAGGAACAUCAUCUAUGCCAGCAUCUACAUCUGAAUCAACGACAACAGCUGAACCAACAACAACUGAAACUUCAUCUACAACUGUAACAGGAACAUCAUCUAUGCCAGCAUCUACAUCUGAAUCAACGACAACAGCUGAACCAACAACAACUGAAACUUCAUCUACAACUGUAACAGGAACAUCAUCUAUGCCAGCAUCUACAUCUGAAUCAACGACAACAGCUGAACCAACAACAACUGAAACUUCAUCUACAACUGUAACAGGAACAUCAUCUAUGCCAGCAUCUACAUCUGAAUCAACGACAACAGCUGAACCAACAACAACUGAAACUUCAUCUACAACUGUAACAGGAACAUCAUCUAUGCCAGCAUCUACAUCUGAAUCAACGACAACAGCUGAACCAACAACAACUGAAACUUCAUCUACAACUGUAACAGGAACAUCAUCUAUGCCAGCAUCUACAUCUGAAUCAAUGACAACAGCUGAACCAACAACAACUGAAACUUCAUCUACAACUGUAACAGGAACAACAACUACGCCAGCAUCUACAUCUGAAUCAACAACUGUCGUUGAACCAACAACUAAAACAUCUACAGCUCAAUCAACUGUACCAACAUCUACGAAUCAAACAACAGCUGUUCCAACAUCUGCAUCAGCUGCACCAAUUUCGACAGUUGCGGUAUUAUAUACACCAACUGAAUCAACAUCUACCACUCAAUCAACAACUGCACCAACAUCUGCCACUCUAUCAACAUCAGCUGCGUCAACAUUGACAUCAGCUGCAUUAACAACCACAACUCGAACAGCAACACCAGCAUCUACCUCUGAACUGACAACAACUCAACCAGUAAAUCAGUCAACACCCUCAUCUCCAGAAAUUUACCUGCAAAGUAAAUUUCAUUUUAUCAUUAUUCACCACCUAGAUUUUGUUUGUCAGAUAAAGUUUUGUUCACAUAUGCUGAUAUGAAUCUGAUUUUUAUAGAUACGACAGCAGCUGCAUAUGUAACUUUCAAAAUGAGAUCCUUUGUUGACCUGAGCGAUGAUAAAAUCAUUACAUAUAUUGAAAAGGUAAGCUGAUAGUUUGUCGUUAAUAUAUAUAUAUAUAUAUAUAUAUACAUAACCUGUAGUCUAAAAUAUGUUUUUGUUUGUUUGUUUUUACUUUUUAAAUCUUUACUUACCAGGAUAGUGAAAAGAUAAUACUUCAGCAAUCAACACUUACCCAGUGAGAAAUUAGCCUACUCCGAAUAGAUAUCUUGCUGUCUGUAGACUACCCCAUUGCUGGAAUAAUUAUUCAAUCUGAGUAAAAUUCAUGGCUACCUAAUACUGCCUAAUAGGAUACUGAUUGAUUUUAACUGUAAUGCUUACAGUGCUUAUCAAUUUUCAUUGCAGUUUGUCAAGCAAUUUCACACAAACAGUAGUGGGACCAUCAGGAUUACUUUGAAGAAAUCAAAAAAAUUGUUGACCUGAGGAUCUGACAUGGAAAACUGCAAUCUUCUACAAAAAUAUCAGAAUGAUUAUACCAGUAUGAAAAUUAAAAAAGGUUUUGUCCAGUCAAUAUUUUUUUUCACUUUCUACAAUAUUUUUCAUAAUAUAUAUAUAUAUAGUGAUUGUGAUUAAAAGAAGCACUUGUAGUCACAGACAAAAGGUUAACAGCUAACUUUUCUUUUUCUUUUUUCUUUUUUGUAUCUUAGUUAAUCUGUUUUAAUUUAGGUGCCGCACUUUUUUCAUUCUCAACUCAAACUAUUUCUUGAGCUGUGUUGUGUAAUAUAAUAUAUUUUGUGGAUGUUAUUUAAUUUCUGCUCCUUUCAGUGUGAUUUAGAAAAAUCAUUUAUAUAUUCUAACAUUUAUUUAUUCUAAUACAUCUAACAUUUCAAAGUUGUGGAAUGUCAGAAUGUGUUGCAUUCGUCUUAUACUAGCUAGAUAACUAGAAGUCUUUAGGUCAAAACUGUUUUGUAAAUGUUGAUACAAGUACUGUAAUAUAAUAUAUACUGUAAAUACCAUGGUCUGUCUGAAUACUCGGAUUCUGAUGCCGAUUGCUCUUGUGCAUGUAGGCACCUGCUGUAUUGUAAAAUACUGAAUCUAGCCGCACAACGGCUGCUAAAAAUGACAACGAAGCCAGGGAAGUUUGCAGUUGAAUCUCUAUGUUAUUGUUUAUAUGGUCAUCAAGGAAACACACAGUGAAUGUGGGCAGCCACACCAUCGUUUUCAAAAGUCUCCAUUUUGGUCCGUUUACACUGAAACGCAACCACAAUCAGUUUUCAAACUAAUACAGGGUCUGCAGCAUUUUCAAAAAUCUCCAUUUUCGAGGGUUGAAAAUGCUGGAGAAGUGUAAACGUAUGAAAAAACAAAAAGUUAUGGGUUUUAAAAUGAAAAUGCACUAGUGUAAAUGUAGUCUUAGGCUGAUGAUACAUGGGGUGACUUUUUGAGCAAUUUUGCUGGGCAACUUGAGAAACAAGUUUCUAUCUGGAUACUUUAGAUCGGUUGUGGGCCCUGUGUCUAACCUGGUUGCCCGUUGAUGGCAACACUGCUCAAAAAGUUGCCCCGUGUGUCAUCAUCCUUAAUGUAGUGCCGAAUUCAACUGUCCAUGAAUCUCAGCUGCGACUCUGGGCGCUGUUCAAAAUCCUGCCAUGCCACUCACAAAGUUUUCCAUUAAAUUGUAUUAUAUUGGUCCCAAAUUAUUGUUAAGGUACAUAAAGACAAUGUAUUGUGCAAUUUUCAGUGAAACGUUUGUCUUUCUAUGGCUCUAAUAAAAUCCGGGCUUCAUAUAGACGUUUCUGUUUU